rnacentral:snoRNA from 1 species
UUUCCUGAUGAUCAAUUUUACCAUUUAAUAACUUUCGUUCUACCGAAUAGCAUCUCACGAUGUUGAGGACACCUUUUCCCUGAAA